GUAGGGAAUAUUGGACAAUGGGGGCAACCCUGAUCCAGCGACGCCGCGUGAGUGAUGAAGGCCUUCGGGUCGUAAAGCUCUGUUGCAGGGGAAGAACACAAUGACGGUACCCUGCUAGAAAGGAUCGGCUAACUUCGUGCCAGCAGCCGCGGUAAGACGAGGGAUCCUAGCGUUGUUCGGAAUUAUUGGGCGUAAAGCGGGUGCAGGUGGCUUGGUAAGUCAGAUGUGAAAGCCUGGGGCUUAACCCCAGAAGUGCAUUUGAUACUGCUGAGCUUGAGUGCUGGAGAGGCUAUUAGAAUUCCUGGUGUAGUGGUGAAAUACGUAGAUAUCAGGAGGAAUACCGGAGGCGAAGGCGGAUAGCUGGCCAGACACUGACACUCAGACCCGAAAGCGUGGGGAUCAAACAGGAUUAGAAACCCGGGUAGUCC
rnacentral:rRNA from 1 species